rnacentral:rRNA from 1 species
CUACGGGCUGCUCCAGUGGGGAAUCUUAGACAAUGGGCGCAAGCCUGAUCUAGCCAUGCCGCGUGAGUGACGAAGGCCUUAGGGUCGUAAAGCUCUUUCGCUGGGGAAGAUAAUGACGGUACCCAGUAAAGAAACCCCGGCUAACUCCGUGCCAGCAGCCGCGGUAAUACGGAGGGGGUUAGCGUUGUUCGGAAUUACUGGGCGUAAAGCGCGCGUAGGCGGAUCAGAAAGUUGGGGGUGAAAUCCCGGGGCUCAACCCCGGAACUGCCUUCAAAACUCCUGGUCUUGAGUUCGAGAGAGGUGAGUGGAAUUCCGAGUGUAGAGGUGAAAUUCGUAGAUAUUCGGAGGAACACCAGUGGCGAAGGCGGCUCACUGGCUCGAUACUGACGCUGAGGUGCGAAAGCGUGGGGAGCAAACAGGAUUAGAUACCCGAGUAGUC